UGAGGAAUAUUGGUCAAUGGCCGGGAGGCUGAACCAGCCAAGCCGCGUGAAGGAAGACGGCCCUACGGGUUGUAAACUUCUUUUGUCGGGGAACAAAAAGGGGAGGACGAGUCCUCCUCUGCGGGUACCCGAAGAAAAAGCAUCGGCUAACUCCGUGCCAGCAGCCGCGGUAAUACGGAGGAUGCGAGCGUUAUCCGGAUUUAUUGGGUUUAAAGGGUGCGUAGGCGGUCUGUUAAGUCAGCGGUAAAAGACCGGGGCUCAACCCCGGCAAGCCGUUGAAACUGGCGGACUAGAGACGGAGAGAAGUAAGCGGAAUGCGCAGUGUAGCGGUGAAAUGCAUAGAUAUUGCGCAGAACUCCGAUUGCGAAGGCAGCUUACCGGCUCCCGGACUGACGCUGAGGCACGAAAGCGUGGGGAUCAAACAGGAUUAGAUACCC
rnacentral:rRNA from 1 species